GCUUUCUUAGCUCAGCUGGUAGAGCGCGUGGCUUUAACCAUGUGGUCGUUGGUUCUAUUCCCACAGACAGCG
rfam:Picea glauca, whole genome shotgun sequence.